rnacentral:rRNA from 1 species
UACGUAGGUGGCAAGCGUUGUCCGGAUUUACUGGGCGUAAAGGGAGCGUAGGUGGAUAUUUAAGUGGGAUGUGAAAUACUCGGGCUUAACCUGGGUGCUGCAUUCCAAACUGGAUAUCUAGAGUGCAGGAGAGGAAAGUAGAAUUCCUAGUGUAGCGGUGAAAUGCGUAGAGAUUAGGAAGAAUACCAGUGGCGAAGGCGACUUUCUGGACUGUAACUGGCACUGAGGCUCGAAAGCGUGGGGAGCAAACAGG